rnacentral:misc_RNA from 1 species
UGCGGCUCUCUAUGAUUCCCAAGCACUCGACGGCGAAUGCAUCAACGAAAAGAGUUCAAGCAGCAGCCAUCAACCCCCUAACGUAAAGAAGGGACUGCAUCCCGCUCCCCCGCAACGGCAAGCAGCAGCGCAAGCGCACGCACGUACGCACACCAUCACUGACAGCGCACAGCUCACGCGCCCGCGUGCGGACGCGCGCACGCCCUCUGUUGCAGCCCUUUCUCUCUCUCCCCCCCCCCUCCUCUUCCCCCACUACUAGCUCUUUUCCGAGGUGUCGCUGUUCCUCCUCGUUUCGAUCUUGACGUGUAGGUGAAAGGGAGCCGGUGCGUCUCCCUGCGUGCGUGUGCGUGUGUGCGCCGCCCUCGCUUAUUCCCUCUCUCGACUCGCCUCCGGCCUACACAUCCACCACCCCCACCCUUCUGCCUUGUUAUCCCUGCCCUGCCCCCAUACUUCCGCUCCCGUCUCUCGGUCUCAGAGGAGACGCACAUCAGCGAAGUGCGCGCAGCUCCUCGCACCGGGACUCUCGCACGUGCACUUCCUCGCUGCCCUUUCGCUCCCUUGUACCUUCCCUAUUCCUGCUGUACCCCUCCCUCUCUCGUCCGCUCACCUUUGAUAAGCUACGAAACGCCUUUUCUCCUAUACACCAGAAGGAAGGGUAAAGGCCCCCUCCUCCCUCCCCUCCCCUCCCCUCCCCUCCCUCCUUUGCGCCCGCUGCGCUGCUGCUUCCGCUAAACCGCAGCCGCAGCGUGCAGGAAAAAAAAAAACGAGAAGUGACAGCUAUAGACUAACGAAGUUUAACAUCCUAACGAGCGCCUCGGUUCGUGUCUGUGUCCCUGUUAUCGCAGCCCCUUGCGCGCCCCUCCCUCUCCCCUCCCUUACCCACCCUUCUCGCCCAUCGUCGUCCUCAAUCAUCAGGAUCAUCGCUGCCACACUCCGCACUCGCCCAUCAACCUGCAUACGUGCGCCACGUAUACGCACACAGAAGAAAAAAAAGAGAAAAAGAGAGAGGGGGGCGGCACGUGCGGAGAGGGGCGGUAGCAGCUUGAACAGACCACCGCGCACCCGGACAAGAAGGCGGUGUGGCGACGGCGUCUCUGCCGGCUCUCAUCGCGGCGUCGUUCGUCGUGUUCUCGCUUUCAUUUUCCUGUCGUCGCUUCGCGUGCGUGGGUGUGUCUGACCGCUUUCGUGUUGUCUUCUCCCGCUCUGACGGACGGACCGACACGAUCCUGCCCGCCGGCACCGCCCCUUCUCGCCCAUCUCCCCCGCACGCCCGCCUGUGCUCGUUGGAGUGCGUGCGCAGGGGAUCGCCCGGUCCUUGUUUGCUUUGACUUGUUGUUCGGGGUGCGGCGCUUGCCGUCGCGUGUUCGCUCCUCCUUCUCUGGCUGUCUCCCUCCCUCCCUCCCUCCCUCCCUCUGUGUGUGUGUGUGUGUGUGUGUGUGUCUUUCAUUUCUGGUUGCGUCCGUGACCGUUCGACCUCGCUGUGAAAGUGGGAGGGAGGGAGGGAGGGAGGGGGGAAGCGACGUCGACACCCUCUGCCUUCCGCCGCCACGUAACCAUCUUCCACUCGGCUGUCGCUGCCUGUCUUUGCUGUGCGCGUCCUCUUUCCCUCUUUUGUUUGUGUUGCUUCGCGCUCUUCUCACGCACUUCCCUUCUGUUUUCGAUCCUUGUGGGUGACGAUCACGAAUCUCAGUGGCGCAUCAUCUGCCUCCUCGGUUGCUUCCUUUUCUCUGUGUGCGUGCGUGCGUGUGUGUGUGCGUUGGUCAAACGGCUCGGUGCGAGCCCCUCCAUCGUCAUCACCAUCUGCCUUCUUUCUCCUUCCUCUCUCCAAAAAGGGUGCGUGUGCUUGUUCGUGUGCGUGCGUGCGUGUCCGCCGUACCCUUCCUUUCAUGGACUGUGUAGAAGCCUGCCCGCCGCAUCAUACACGCUCGUCUCAGCUCGCGCAUCGUCCGCCAGCGUCUGCCGCCGGAGGCAGCAACGGCAUCAGCGGUAUUGUUGGCUCUAGCGGCUCCAGUAACGUUCGUCGCGCGUGUGCCGCCGUGUCUACCGCGCGCUCGACGGAUCGCAUCCAUUCAGCUUUUCCUACAUACGCGGAGUCGCCGCAGCAACCACCGCAGCCGUCAACAACAACGGCGACGUCUGCCCCUGCAACCACUGCGGCGCGCGCGUCGCCGUUUACGCAAGAGAAACACCACCAGGGCUGCCCAGACGCCAGCGCAGCGAUCACCGUGUCUCCAGAGCAGCAGCAGAGCCAGCACGUGAAGCGCCUCUCCCCCAGCACUUGCAGCGGUAGCGCGUCGAACCUGACCAUUUUGCUUCACUCCAACACCAACGCCAGCGUCACGUCAGCGGCGACGGACAGCUCCGAGCAGUCUACACCCCUCUCCGGGGUCUCCUCCCAUCAGCAACAGGUACAGCGAGCCCGCGCCCAACGUGUCGUCGACGAGGCAAACCACCUUUACUCGAAUCCCUGCUCUUCCCUGCGGCCAUCGCUGGACUCGUGCUCGAGCAGCCGCGCCCGCGACAACGAGGACGACGAAGUAGCUGCCGACGACGCUGUCAGUGCCGCUUUCGUGGACGGUGCCGCCGUGGCUGGCAACGACGACGACCAGCAGCAGCAGCACCGUCGCCACAGCGACGAUCUUUCGCAGCAGCACCGCGUCAGAUGUAGCGCGCCAUCCAGCAAGCGUCCAAGACAGCCUCUGCGGGAUCCGUCGUCGCCACCGCUCCCACCGCAGCAGCCGCAGCCGCAGGCAGACUUGGAGGACGAGGAGGAGCGAACGCAUCCGCAUCACCGCUGCGGCGCCGCCAUGCGCAUCCCCGACCCCUCCACGUUUGUAGACCCCUCCUCUUCCUCGCGGCACAGGCCGACCACGACGACGACAACAGCGAGCACGAACAAGGAUGGCACCGACCCGGGAGGCCCUAGCAGUGGCCGCAACAGCCGCACCAUGAGCCAGCUUCACCAGCGCCGUGGCGACAGCGGUAACCCAAACGGCGAUGGCAACCGCGCGCGCACGCUCGACGAUGCCGAGUACGAAGAAGAUCAAGAGGUGUGGCGCGCCCUGCACCCGCCGCCGCAUCUUCGGUGCCAUGGAGGGGAACGGGACGAGGACAACCACGACCCCCAAGCGGCCACUGCCGCCAUGAUUAUUGCCCCCGGUGGCGGCGCCGCCGUCACAUCCAUGAGCUCCGCCUGCCUCUCCGCGCCAGACGCCACGCCGGUGGUGCCGCCGCCAAAGCGCUUCGCCACCGGAGAGGGUGAGGCAGUGGCGCUCGACGAGCUUCGCUACGUCUCCAGCUCCACCACCACCACCGCGGCCGCCGCCUCCGCGAUCCUCGAGGAAGAUGAGGACGACGAGGGCGAGCGCGCGUCGCCGUCGCAUGUCGCCACCACUGACGAGAACCGUGAAAAAGGAGCAUCGUCCGCUUCCCGUCGCGCAUCGCAGCAGCAGCAGCCGCAGCAGCGCGACAGUCGCACUCGGAGGGCGCGUGUCGCGGGUGCGAGCAGAGGCAACUGCGUUAGCAGCAGCAGUACUGGCGUGUUGGCCAGUCGGCGGCACGCCAGCGACAGCGUCACGGCUGGCAUUCCGUACGACCCGUCCUGCUUCCCUCUGCCGUCCCAGCCGCCGAAGCUGGCGGCCCCUGUCACGGCAGCCGUAGCCGCGGCAGCCCACAGGACCGCGGCCGAGCCCGCGUCUGACGGCCCGCGGAGAAGCACGAGCCAGCCUAGCUGCGCUACUCCGCCAGACGCGCAGCAGCAGCAGGGCCCGCAGGCAGCGGGUGCCGACGGCGGCGCCACGCUCGCGCCGACACGCCCGCCAAUCAAGCUGAUCGAAACUCGCUACGCCUUUCUUGCCCUCUCCUUCAUGAUGCGCAUGCUGUGCAAGCUGCACAAGGGCGAGCCAAUCCCGUCGAGCGACUUCCACUCCCACUGCAUACCGCCGAUGACGGUGACCAUGUACGUGCAGCGACUGGUGCGGUACUGCGCGUGCAGCGGCGAGGCGCUCCUCUGCUCAUUUUUACUUCUGCUCAAGUACGUCUUUCACAGCGGGCACCCUGUUACCAUCUACAACGCACAUCGUCUACUCAUCACUAGCAUCGUGCUCGGCAUCAAGCUGCGCGACGACGUAUACUACAGCAACGUCUACUACGGCCGUAUCGGCGGCAUCAGCGGACGCGAGAUGAAUAAGCUAGAGCUGCUUUUCCUCGAGAAGCUGGAGUGGGAGACGCAGGUGCAUGUAGACGAGUACAUGGCGCUGCUAGAUCUGCUCGCGGAGCUCGGCAUUGACGCGGAGCCGACCAGCGCGCAGCUCGAAGCCUUUGCGGCGGCGUACCCGGACGAAGUCGCCGCGUACGUGUCGGACGAGGAGGAUAGCGAAAUCGCCGAGGCAAACGCGAAGCUGCAGCAGCAGGGUCCCGACUCGGCCGCCGGCUCGUCCAUGAAGGACGCCGCCGCCAGCGUCACCGCCCUGCCCGCGGCGGAGCAGCAGCGCCUGAAGGUGCUGCGUGGCGCCUACCGGCUGCAUCAGUGGCACACGCUCGUGGUGCCGUGGCUGGCGCGCCUGGAGCGCUGCGUGUUUGCCAAGGCGGAGGAAAAUGCUGUCGCCGCAGCCGCGGCCCGGAAGGAGGAGGGUCUGCGCUGGCAGCAAUACCACCGCGAGGAUGAGAAGGCCGCAGCGCUGCGGCAUCAGCGGCCGUCCUCGGCAAGUACGUGGCUAUCACCCUUGUCCGCGCAGAAGCGUGCCACGAGCAGUGCCACGGCGGGGGCGGCCUGGGCCUCCGAGCCCCCGUACCAGGCCUCUCGGUCCCACCGCGACGGCAGCAAUGUGCCGCACCGUAGCUCGAGCGGCGCAAUCGUGAUGGGCGGUGGCGGCGCCCAUUCCACUGCCAUUAGCAGCAGCGGCGGUAGCAGCGGCUUCGACAGUGUGCGCUACAACAAUUUUAUGAACUUCGCGAACAACGCUAACGGGGGCUACUUUGGCACCCUCUCCGCCUCCGCGUCUGCCUCGGCGGCAGCAGCGGCGCCGACGGCGGUGAGCCAAGGCAGCCGGCUCGACAGGUCUGCGUCGCCGCCCUCGUCGGGCCAGUGCCCUAGUCAGCAGAAGCAUGCCGUCUCUGGCCCAGCACCGUCCUCAUACUACUACCAGGGCAACGACGUCGCUCGCGCGUCGAUACAAGUGCGACACCUCGCCGCAGCCUCCUCUUCCGCUCACUUCGACAUCACGAACCGCGUAGCAGCGUCCGUGGCGGCGGUGUCGACCUCGGCGGAUGCUGGUGCGGAGUCGCACCAGCACACUGCAUCGACACAGCAACAGCAACUGCCGUCUGUGGCUGGCACGACCGUGCAGCUCACGUCACCGUCGUCGUCCACCACCCAUGGAAGCGGCAUCAACGUCAACGCCCAGCCGUACUACUACGUUAGCAGCCGUAUGCGCAAGCAGCAGCAGCAAGCGGCAGCAGCGUCGCCGGCUUCGGUAGGCCCAUCGGUUACCCGUCCGGGUAGCGACUUGGCAGUUGCUGGUAUGACGUCGACGAGGACGCCAGCGACGGCGGUAGGCACUGAUGACACUGUGGCUGCCGCGCAGCGUGCGUCGUUGUCCACCCUCGAAGGUGGCAGCGAUGCGCGCUCACCAGGCUCUUCGUUUACGAGCCCGGCGUGCGUCAACUCGCUAGCGCGCUUCAGCACGUACGCAAGGACGACGACGGGCCGUGUGGCAGGUCAUCCGUCGCAGCCGAGCGGCUUCCGCAGCGGCAUCGAGACUGUCGUGUCGGCGAUGAAGAUGUCUGGCAUUUACGGCGGCAGCGGCGGCGGCGGCAACAACAGUAGCAGUGCGGGCGGGAGUAGCGCGCACCCCCACACCUUCCCAGCGCGGCCCAUCGCCAGGUCAGGUGCAGAUGGCGGCAGCGGCGGCGAGCAGGCGACUUCAGCACACGUGCCGCGGCGGUCUCCGCACGCGGAUCACCAGGCACCGGUGCACCGCCGCUCCACCUUCGCGUCGCAGCACUCACUCGGCAAGAAGCGCUCAAAGCCUGACAGCUACAAGGACUACUGAGGUGCAGUCCCGGUCACAUGCGCACAGAGGGGGUAGCACGAUGGCCGCACGUCGAAGAGACAUCGUGAUCAAGGCAUUUGCAAACCCUGUACGCGUGUGUGCGCGCGCGUGGGUUUCGCGAAGUUCGCAUGUCCGGCUAUUAGCGCGGCCGCCCCAUCAAGCGAUGCGCAUCCCUGCCUUUCUUCUUCGUUACUUUCGCCUUCGGGGCACAAGGGGAAUCACCUGCACACGCAUACUCACGCACAUGCAGAGAUUGCAACAACUAAGCUAACACCUCUCUAAAUACCCUAUAUAUAUAUAUAUAUAUAUAUAUUGCUUUUCUCCAGACAUAAGUAAUCUCUGCAUCCGUGCCCGUGUGCGCCUUCCCCCCCCUGUGCAUGCUCGUGAUGUUCGCGGUGUGUGUGUGUGUGUGUGUGUGUGUGUGUGUGUGUGUGUGUGUGGGUGUGGGUGUGGGUGUGGGUGUGGGUGGGUGGGUGGGUGGGUGGGUGGGUGUCGCACCGUCGUUUUCCAAAUUGUAUUGGCGGCCGGCUCUGUCACAGACGCCGGCGACGGCGCAUCUCGCGCUUUAUCUGCGUGAGCCCCGUCUCGCCUCUUCUUCGUUGUGCUCUUUAUCUUCUCCGUUACUCACGGCGCGUGCGUGUGUGCGCCGCACGAGUGCGGGAUAGUGCGCGGAUUGCUUCUCUUGAACGAAC